rnacentral:rRNA from 1 species
AUUGAGAGUUUGAUCAUGGCUCAGGACGAACGCUGGCGGCGCGCCUAACACAUGCAAGUCGAGCGCCCGUAGCAAUACGGGAGCGGCAGACGGGAGAGUAACACGUGGGAACGUACCCUUCAGUUCGGAAUAACCCAGGGAAACUUGGACUAAUACCGAAUACGUCCGUAAGGAGAAAGAUUUAUCGCUGAAGGAUCGGCCCGCGUCUGAUUAGCUUGUUGGUGAGGUAAUGGCUCACCAAGGCGACGAUCAGUAGCUGGUCUGAGAGGAUGAUCAGCCUCACUGGGACUGAGACACGGCCCAGACUCCUACGGGAGGCAGCAGUGGGGAAUAUUGGACAAUGGGCGCAAGCCUGAUCCAGCCAUGCCGCGUGGAUGAUGAAGGCCCUAGGGUUGUAAAGUCCUUUCGACGGGGAAGAUAAUGACGGUACCCGUAGAAGAAGCCCCGGCUAACUUCGUGCCAGCAGCCGCGGUAAU